AUACUUACCUGGCAGGAGAGAUACCAUGAUCAUAAAGGUGGUAUUCCCAGGCAAGGCUUAUCCAUUGUACUUCGGAUGUGCUGACCCCUGCAGUUUCUCCAAAUGUGAGAAACAUGACUGUAUAAUUUGUGGUAGUGGGGACUAUGCUCACGGUUUCCCCU
ensembl:snRNA U1 U1 spliceosomal RNA